rnacentral:rRNA from 1 species
CUUCCAAAUUCGACCUCAAAUCAGGUAGGACUACCCGCUGAACUUAAGCAUAUCAAUAAGCGGAGGAAAAGAAACCAACAGGGAUUGCCUUAGUAGCGGCGAGUGAAGCGGCAAAAGCUCAAAUUUGAAAUCUGGCACUUUCAGUGUCCGAGUUGUAAUUUGAAGAAGGUAUCUUUGGGUCUGGCUCUUGUCUAUGUUUCUUGGAACAGAACGUCACAGAGGGUGAGAAUCCCGUGCGAUGAGAUGUCCCAGACCUAUGUAAAGUUCCUUCGAAGAGUCGAGUUGUUUGGGAAUGCAGCUCUAAGUGGGUGGUAAAUUCCAUCUAAAGCUAAAUAUUGGCGAGAGACCGAUAGCGAACAAGUACAGUGAUGGAAAGAUGAAAAGAACUUUGAAAAGAGAGUGAAAAAGUACGUGAAAUUGUUGAAAGGGAAGGGCUUGAGAUCAGACUUGGUAUUUUGUAUGUUACUCUCUCGGGGGUGGCCUCUACAGUUUACCGGGCCAGCAUCAGUUUGGGCGGUAGGACAAUUGCAAAGAAAUGUGGCACUGCCUCGGUAGUGUGUUAUAGUCUUUGUCGAUACUGCCAGCCUAGACUGAGGACUGCGCUCGC